CAUAUUAAAGUUUAUUUUUGAAUUUUUCCUUUACGUUGAAAAGGCCUCUUUUGAGUAAUAUGAUGAGGAUAUUUUUG
rnacentral:tRNA from 1 species